GAUGAACGCUGGCGGCGUGCUUAAUACAUGCAAGUCGAGCGAACAGACGAGGAUCUUGCUCCUCUCACGUUAGCGGCGGACGGGUGAGUAACACGUGGAUAACCCACCUAUAAGACUGGGAUAACUUCGAGAAACCGGAGCUAAUACCGGAUAAUAUAUUGAACCGUAUGGUUCAAUAGUGAAAGACGGCUUUGCUGGCACUUAUAGAUGGUUCCGCGCCGCUUUAGCUAGUUGGGACGGUAACGGCUUACCAAGGCGACGAUGCGUAGACGAACUGAGAGGGGGGUCGGCCGCACUGGAAGUGGAACACGGUCCAGAGUCCUGCGGGAGGGAGCAGUAGGGAAUGGUCCGCAAUAGGGGGAAGCCUGGCGGAGCAAGGGCGCGUGAGUGAUGGAGGUCUUCGGAGCGUAAAACUCUGUUAUUAGGGGAGAACAAAUGUGUAAUUAGCUAUGGACGUAUUGACGGUACCUAGUCAAAAAGCCACGGCUAACUACGUG
rnacentral:rRNA from 1 species